rnacentral:lncRNA from 1 species
GCUGAGAGCGUCCAGCUCAGGGCUGUCUUGGGUCUCUUGCCCUUAGCUGUCCCGGGCUGGUAUGCUGAGAUUCUGCCACUCUUAGGCUACGUCUUGGCUCUGGGGGUGUGAUGACCUCUCACAGGGUCGGAGCAGGUUUGUACUGCCACUCACCACUACCUGUGCUACUGUGGCUACCCUACUAUUUUUAGUGUUUGAGCUAUGAAUCACACCCCUAGCUCCAAGUGUAGACGUAAUCUUAGAUUUGGGAUCUGGCUACACAGACCCAUAUAGCCAUGGAUUAUCACCCUGCAGGUCUGACUGUUUCCUCCCUUGGGGGAUCCUGUGACCAGUGCCCUGCAGCCUUAAUUCAAGGCAUUUUAUUCAGCAGUUGGAACAAAGCAUUAGUGAAAAGCGGGUUUUAAAACCACAAACAGCCCAUGCUUGUUUACUCUCAUCCAAACUAAGGCCAGGUCUACGCAAAAAAGUUAGGUUGACCCCGUUAUGUCACUUAGGGGUGUGAAAAAUCCACAACCAUGAGCGAUGUUGUUAAGCUGACCUAACCCGCCAGGGUAGACAGCGCUUUGCCAAUGGAGAAGUUCUUCUGUUGACCUUGCUACUGCUUCUUGGGGAAGUGGAUUAACUGCCGCGAUAGAAGAACCUCUCCUGCUGUGUCUACACCGCAGCGUUUCUAGUGAACACAUAGCUUGUAGUGAAGCCUGAGUCUAAGUUAGAGGGCUGUCAUCUUCUUAAUUACAGGAACAGAAGAGACGUACAUUCUCCCACCCAGUUCCAAACCUCCUGAGGGUCUCUCAAAAGCCUCUUCCUACUCUGACCCACCCUGUUCAAACUCAUUUCGGAAUCCUUCCCCAUUCAGGUGACCUUCUAACAAUUCAGAGUCUAAUGGUGGAUGGAAGAAAAGGUUGGUUCCAUAAUUUCUGCCUUACAUCCCAGGUGAACUAUGUGUGUUCCAUCUGGAGAAAGCGGAACUCUCCCGCUUUCAGCAGCUAAAUUGGAGGUAAUGGACUUUGACAAGAUACUUUGCUCAACAUAGAUGAUAGACUUUUUUUUCCCCUUCUCUUACUGAUGAAUAGGUUGCACUGAACAUUCCAGAUAACCCUUAGAAGAGU